rnacentral:rRNA from 1 species
AUUCUCAGUUCGGAUUGUAGGCUGAAACUCGCCUACAUAAAGCUGGAGUUACUAGUAAUCGCAGAUCAGAAUGUCGCGGUGAAUACGUUCCCGGGUCUUGUACACACCGCCCGUCACACCAUGGGAGUCGGAUAUGCCCGAAGUCAGUGACCCAACCAUAUGGAGGGAGCUGCCGAAGGUGGAGCCGAUAACUGGGGUGAAGUCGUAACAAGGUACC